GUGCUCGCUUCGGCAGCACAUAUACUAAAAUGUGGAAUGACACGGAGAAGAUUAGCAUGGCCCCUGCACAAGGAUGACACGCAAAUUCGUGAAGCAUUCCAUAUUUUA